GGGCAGGUGGGGAGUUUGGCUGGG
rnacentral:misc_RNA from 1 species